GUAUCGAUAGCUCAACUGGGAGAGCAACGGUCUCAUAAACCGUAGGUUGCGGGUUCGAGUCCCGCUCUUUGGCACCC
rnacentral:tRNA from 1 species